rnacentral:lncRNA from 1 species
ACAUGGUCCCCUGUCACAUAGAGGCUAAUUAUUGCCUAGGGAAAGCACACCCAGGUCUUUUUACUAGUUGCCUGGAGAGUGGCUCCAAGGACUCCUAGCUUCUCCAAGGCAGCAGUCAGUAGCCCAGCAAGAUUAUCUGGGGGAGGGGAGUCAGCUGGAGAAGGAGAAUGAGUGACUGGGAUCAAGAAGAACAAGUAGAGGGUAAACUUCAGUUCUCUUCUGCCACCUCAAAAUACUAUUAUCUUGUGAUUCUGCUGGAACAACAGGAGAACAGAAGGCCUCAAAGUACCAAGAUUCAAAGAAGAAUAUGAUGUGGCAUGAAAUAGGGAAAUUAGGACAUCUCCCCAUCUCCAAUUUUGUGAUACCUCACCAAUUUUCCAUGAUGUUUCAAAUGUUGCUGACUCAUUCAUCAUGGCUAGCAGAUCCUUUAAGAUCAAAGGAUAAAGAAGUAUAGAAGAUUUUUUAAAAAUAGAUCCACAACUGAUUCUGUUCACAGUGAGUACAUCUAUAUGCUUAAAGAGCUUCAGUGGCCCAACAGUGGCAGAGAAGAGGUUCUUUCCAGCAAGAAAGAUGUGAGACACAGAAAGAGAGCAGCUAGCCUUUAGAAGCACAUCGUUUUGCACAGGAUGAUAUGACAUUCAGACUGUUCUUUAAAUAGGGCAAGGAUAGUAAGGACUACUAUCGAGAGCUGUAAGUUGCCUUAGGCACAUGUGUUGACCUCUUAUGUGCUUUCCUGGUAGGUUUCUCUAAGUAUGUACCUGCUCUCUUUGAUGGGCACAGUGUGCACUGGUGAUUGGUGAAAGAAUGUAAUCCAGAUUUGGGGGCAUUUCACAUUGUUAUGAUUCCUCAUUUCCCUAUUCUUG